rnacentral:rRNA from 1 species
AUUGAACGCUGGCGGCAUGCCUUACACAUGCAAGUCGAACGGCAGCACGGGAGAAAUCCUGGUGGCGAGUGGCGAACGGGUGAGUAACAUAUCGGAACGUGCCCAUCAGUGGGGGAUAGCCCGGCGAAAGCCGGAUUAAUACCGCAUACGACCUACGGGUGAAAGCAGGGGAUCGCAAGACCUUGCGCUAUUGGAGCGGCCGAUAUCAGAUUAGCUUGNGGUGGGGUAAGAGCCUACCAAGGCGACGAUCUGUAGCUGGUCUGAGAGGACGACCAGCCACACUGGGACUGAGACACGGCCCAGACUCCUACGGGAGGCAGCAGUGGGGAAUUUUGGACAAUGGGCGCAAGCCUGAUCCAGCCAUGCCGCGUGCGGGAAGAA